rnacentral:misc_RNA from 1 species
AACGCACCUUGCGCUCUUUGGUAUUCCGAAGAGCAUGCCUGUUUGAGUGUCAUGAAAAUAUCAACCUUGACUUGGGUUUAGUGCUCUUGUCUUGGCUUGGAUUUGGCUGUUUGCCGCUCGAAAGAGUCGGCUCAGCUUAAAAGUAUUAGCUGGAUCUGUUUUUGAGACUUGGUUUGACUUGGCGUAAUAAGUUAUUUCGCUGAGGACAAUCUUCGGAUUGGCCGAGUUUCUGGGACGUUUGUCCGCUUUCUAAUACAAGUUCUAGCUUGCUAGACAUGACUUUUUUAUUAUCUGGCCUCAAAUCAGGUAGGACUACCCGCUGAACUUAA